UACUAGGAAUAAUGCGAUAGAGAUAUCGAAUAAGUUUAGAAAACUAUGAUAGGAUGAUGUUACGAUGAGAAUAGGGGAGGAGAAAAAUUGUGAGAAAUAUUACUUAUAAUAUUAGAAAGAAAGUUUAAUGAAUUAAUAAAAUUGAUUAAAUUAUUUAUUAAAAAUUGAAAAUAUAAUAUCUUGAAAAUAAUGACUUUCUGAAAUAUGAUAUGUUCAUUAUAUAAAGAAAUAAAGUACUUUUAGAAAUGUAGUACAUCAAAUGGUUUUUUUUACGACAUUAUAUUUUCUUUUAAUUAUAUGUUCAAAGUAAUUUCCGAUAGAUAGAUCACAGUGUUUUCUCGUAGAUCGUCAAAUUUGUUCGAAAAUUUUUAAAGUGUUUCGAAUAAUUUGAUUACCUUUCACUCAUUAAUCAAUAAUUUCCUUUUGCUAAUUAUUAAAUUCCAUCGAAUUACUUUUUUCCAUUAAACGAACAAUCGUAGUACUCGUAACAAAAUAUAUUUCCUUAUAGAAAUGUAGACUUUAUUCUUUUUCUGAUUCUUUCUUUUUUUUUCUUUUUUUUUUUUUUUUGAAAAAUUCUCAUCCAUAAAGGUUUCUAUCGGUUGUGUGAUACAAUCGGUAAAAGUUACGAGCAGAUUCCAUAUCUGUGAGUCUGUAGGAUUAUUUUUAAAGCACGCCGAUAGAUACCAUACCGAUAUUCUCUCGCUCUUCGUUAUACGGUGUAUAGACUGUAGAACGAUAUUGUGUGACAUGAAUUCUCACCUAGUAUGAGAAGUUUAGAAGCAUACGUGUUCGAGCUUGUUUCGUUGCAUACAACAACGCACGUGGCAUGUCACACGUCGCGAAUGUCUUCCUCAACAACGUGUUUAACGAGUUAGAAGAGCAAAACAACCCUGAUUAUUAUACACCUGAUGUUCCUUAAUCGGCAUAAAGGCUCUUUCUAUUUUUAACUCACAAUGAUAUAAUAACGACGUUUCGGAGAACGAAACGCAUAAUGAUAAAGUCCACACGGGAUUAUUUAACGGAAUGCGAACGUCGAAAAUUCGAUGGAAAGUAGAGAGCUAGAGGGAAAAGCUUUGUCGCAUGGCCAUUAGAAUGCCUCGCGUGCCAACACAUGACAGUAAUUAUGCUUAAUUAAUCUAAUAGCGGUAGAUGAUAAUUUGCAUACGCAUAAUGCGUGCAUUGAUCUGUACGCGUUUCGCAUGUAAUAUCAGCAGCUGUACUCGAUCGGACUGGUACGUAUGCUAUUGCGUAUUUUAUAUCGCAAUUGCUCGGAUUCGUUAUUGAAUUUAAAUGAUUCGCUCGCUUUCGCUUCGGACGACAUGAAAUGAAUUUUUUAGAAAAACGACUAUUUCAUUUUCUAUGAGUAUCGGAGUUGGAUAUGAAAGAUAUAGAUAGUGAGAUAUGUAUUAUAUGUACUAUAUAUCUUCUUACAUUAAUCAUGCCCUUUGAGUUAAAUCUCGCUGUUGCUCAUCGAUAAAUAAAUAAAUCAAAUUUUAUUUAUGGACCUCACGUUCGUAGAAGCCAUUGAAAGUUCCAUUUGAAAGGUCGAAAUACUAUUUACUAUUUAUACAACACGUUAUGGCUAGACAAGUUAUCAUCUCGCCACUCUUAUAAAAUUCUACUCACAGAAAGAACAUAUAUAUAUAUAUAUAUAUAUAUAUAUAUUUCGAUAGAUCAAAAGGUCAAGUAUCUGUACACGUUACGUUUUGAUAGGCCGUAAAUGUCUGCGUUGUUUUGAUUACCAACCUUGAGCCUGUCUAGGACGUUAAUAUUUCGAUCUUUCUCCGAGUCCGAGCGUGUUUCGUUUUCUGAAAGGAACAAAGCUCACUACGAAUAGGAUGGUAGUGAUGGCUGCUGGUAAUAAUAAAGUGGUGUUGUUUCGAUGAAGGAUGAUGGCGUCCAAUCAUAUUUAAGAAGAACUAAAUGACUACAUCGGGAGAAGAAAUGUGCCUACAUCUCUCUCUCUCUCUCUCUCUCUCUCUCUCUCUCUUCGAUGAGAGAAAAAUCUUUAUUUUCUAAAAAUAAUGCGAACUUUCGGAGAGUUGUUACGCCACUGCCUUUCACGGUCUCAAGCUGUCGAGUCCACGCGAGGAAAACAACCAACGUGUUUACGAAACUCCGCGCAGGGAGGUACUGUCAAGUGCGUUGUGCUCUUGUUUUCACGAGAAUUUUGUUAGGGAGUGGUAAAAAGACUGUCAGCUAUCGCGAUAUCGCGAACAGUUGUCGCUAGCGUGCAAGCGGUUAUCGUUUUCGUAAAAUUGUUACUACUACGUAAACUUUUCUCGAAUGUCAUUGGAGAAGUCCCGUCGCUUCAACCGUAACGGUAUAUUUUUACAUCAUCACGAGAAAGAGAAUAAAUCUAUUUUAUCGAUAUCAAUCCUUAACGGCAACGAAAUACAUACGAAGAAAAUAAUAUCAUAUUAUGUAUUAAUAAAUCGUAUUAAAAAAAAAAAAAAAAGAAAAGAAAAAAACAGAAAAAAAACAGAAGAAAAAGCCAAAAAGAAACGUGGGACAUUCUAAAAAAAAAAAAAAAAAAAAAAAAAAAAAAAAUAGAUUUAAAAAUGAAUAAUAUUUCUUCAUAUCUUUUGUUUCUCCGUAAUAUGAAAAAACAUGAACCGCUGUCAGACAAGCCGUGUUUACGUUGUACUUAUCUCCCCUUUAGUUCUUCCUCUCUUUCUCUCUUACUUUCAUAAAUAUUAUGAGACGUAAGUAAUACUUUGAGUUCGUAGCAAUAUCCUUUGUAUAAGCCGAGAAUGUAUCAACUAUACGUAAAACUAAAGGAAAUCAGUCUCGUUUUGUUUCAAUUUACGUAAAUAUCUUGAUAUCUUUAAAGUAUUAGUAAAAGUAAAAUGGUAAAAAGGAAAAAUCAAAGUUUCCACGAGAAUAAUUUAUAUAUUUAUUAUUCAUAUUAUCAUAAAAACGAGAUUUCAUAUAUUAAUACGUAAGUAAGUAAUUCUAUAUUUUUUUCGAAUGUAUAGAUUAUUGAAUGUAUAGAUUAUGUAGUAAUUAUUUGAAAAAAUACCGAAAGAGAAAGAGAGAGAGAGAGAGAGAGAGAGAGAGAGAGAGAGACAGAGAGAGAGAGAGAGAGAGAGAGAGAAACAAACGUUAUGUUACAAAUGGAGACAUGAGAGAAGGUUCUAGACAUUAAUCAUGGUUGAUUGAGCUUAAAGUAUUUAUUCUAAAAUGGUUGGCCGACGAUGUAAUAUUUCACGCAAAGUUGCCGAUCGAUCCGUUAUCACAUCGGCAACACCUGCCGAGUCAGCGGAUUAUUUAGGAGGUACUCACAGCGAAACGAUUAUAAAGUCAGGAUUUGAAUAAGGCCCUACUCGGCUUCAUAUGUAGAUAUAAUGCCUUCUAUUAAAUCCAUCUUCCGUAUUUGUCUUGGCAUCGAAGCAUCGUGUGCGUUACGAUUUGGUCGAUCGUAUUCGACUAUCAUGUUGUUCGACGUAAUCGAUGAUGAAAGAGCUCGAUGACCAUGUUCGCCUCAUCGCUUCUAUAUGCGUAAGCACUUUCUAUCUCUCUCUCUCUCUCUCUAUUUCUCUCUAUCUCUAUAUCUCUAUCUCUAUCUCUUUCUACUCAUAUUACAAUAGAUAGCGAAGGCGUUACAACGAAAUACGCUAACGAAUCAUUUGUCUCAAUAUGAUAAUAUAAUACCUAUUAAUUUUCUAUAUCUGCUACGUAAUUUUGAUAUUAUACACUAAUAUUAGUAUCUCUAAUGGACUGACAAUAAAUCAGAAUUCUUAAUAUUGCA